ACAACAAGGGCAGUUACUUGCAGCUUUCUGAAGUGAUAGGAUGUUAUUCUGUAUGGGUUGAAGCUUUCUGAAAUUGUGUGGUGGUACUCUAUGGAUUGUGGCCAUCUCAACUGUGACAUUUGCUGCAGCAAUUGCAGAAAAGAUCCAAGUUCCUGCUACAGCCUUUGUUUCUCUGGUAGGCCAAGUGUGUAUCCCUGGGACUGGAAAGGGUCUGAAGUGUGUGCUGUGCAAGUGUCAGAUUCCUCAGAUAAUCAGGAAAAAAAUCCCCAACCUUUCGACCUUCACUGAAGGGAUGACUGAGGAAACUGGCAGCAAGACACUUCCAAGUGCUCUAUGGAUUAAGAAUGGCCAGACAUUUUCCAAGGCCCUGUGAAGUGGUGGCUGUGUUAACACUGAUGUCAAAGGGAUGCAGAGCAGUUACCCCUGUCAAGGCAAAAAAGCUCCUACUAUGAGGACACCAUGCUUUAAUGAGUCUAACUGAAGGAAAAGGUGUAACAGUGGUGGAACUGGUGAUAGAAAUUGUGCCAGAGAAGGAUGAAGAGUAAAACAGGACUGUUGGUGUUGAAAAUACCUUGCAGUUUCAGCGUGGUUCUGCCCUUCCUCUGGAAAAGGAUCUGGCCCAAUGUGAACCCUGAAUAUUGCAACAAAACACCCACUGAAAGAAGAGAGAGGAGAGAGAGAGAAUCGGUGCCAAUUAUUAAAAUGCACAAAGCCAUGGCUGCCAGCCCACUUAUCCCCUGCCACAGUGAAUCAGUGUAUCCACAGAGAGUGUUUCCUGUGCUCUUGGAGCUGUCACAGAUGGACUGGAAGAGCUUUCUGGUGAUGCGGUCCAGCAGGGGACAUGUGCUCCAAUGACAGCAGUGGUGCACAAUUAGCAUAGGCUAAAAGAGCACAAAGGAAAUUGUGGAGCAGAGUGAAAGCUGCAGAACCCUUAGCUGUAACUCACUCAGGGCUUUCCAAUUCUCUCUGCAAUAAGGCAAAAAGGCAAGUUAAUAAAGAGCUGAAUAUUUUGGUAAGGCAAACUAUUGGGCUAUUAUUAUAUAGAAUUAUGAAAUAUCAAUGGACUAAGGCUGACUUCCAUAUGAAAAAUGUUCUUAGAAGUUUUGGAACUCAAAUGAUGAAUUAUCUUGGGUUUUGCCAUUCUUUGGUAAAGAUUUACAAAACACUACCUCAGUAUUCUUGAUCACUUUAAUACCUUAAAAAAGAAAAAUGUUCCCAAGGGAUCUCUACUGAGAAGGAGGCUUUACUGUGAGUCCCUGUGCACUGCCACACUAAUCAAUAGUUGUGACUGAUUGCUGUAACUAAUCCAUAAGAUAUAGGACUGAAGCAUGGAGGGUUUUUCAAAACUUUGUUCUGUGUCUCCCAGGAGGAGAGCAGCCCCUCCACUUGGAAUGAUGGGCUUAUUCCAGCCUUUGCUCAGUGCUGUGAUUCCCUGGUUCUGUCUGUGUGGGCAUGAGAACCACCCCCUGAUCUGGUGUGUGACGCUGCCUCCCCUCCUCAGCCCUGCACCACCACUUUAGCAGCCACGUGCUUGCCUGGUUAAACAAACAGCUCUAAUGACCUCCACAGAAGCCCCUGCAGACUCUGGAACUCUUCUCCAUUUUCAAGGUCACAACUCUGCUUGAGGUUGAUAAAUUCAUGAAUUAAUAAUACUAAGCACUUUUCAUCCAGGAGUGUCAAAGGUGAGAAACCAUUGUUAGUCCCGUUUUUAUCAGGGAGGAAAUUGAGCUGUAGAAGUGACAUGUACAAAAUGAUUUUGGAAGCCAGUAGUAGAUCCAGGAAAAGAGCACAGUUCUGUGCGCUCAGCUUGCACUGUAGCCAUUGCAUCACUCUGCUUCAUGGUGCCUUUUGUGCCGCAGCACAC